rnacentral:lncRNA from 1 species
GCCACAAUGUCGCCAGGCUCCACUACAAUGUAGCUAGCCCCAGCAGCUGACAAACGGCUUCCGGCUCCUCGCCGCCCCACUCCACUCAGGCCUUUUCGCUGUAAGAGUGAGAGCGCGCGCAACCCCGGAAUCACUGCUUGCCUCCUCUCUGCCCGGGGGAGGAGGUGGGAGAGGAGAGGCGGACCGGGGCUCGAGAGAACCCAGUCCCGAUCUCACUAACACCCCCGGGAGAACGGAGCCUCCCUAGUGGUUUCCUGCAUCUGUAGCAGCUGCUUCCUGAUCCAACUCUUCCGGGCAGCCUGGAGUUGGAUUGGGGGCGGGGCGGAGGUGUUCCUGAACUCUGUCUACCAGGAAGGAGCUCCCCGUAGCCCGGCCUGGGGAAGGGGUGAGAGUCCGAUGACCUGGGGGCGGAAUCCUCGAUUUCCGAGCUGUCCGGGAUGGUAGAAGCCAUGGACACCAGACUCAUUUUACAGAUAGGAAAACUGAAGUUCCGAGAAGCCUUUCAAGGUCACCCAAGUAGCAGUAGUAAAUGGUUGAACAGACAAGGAAGCAAACUGGGAGAGAAGGUCUUUGACGCGAAAUCCAGCAUUGUUUUCACUGGAACGUCUAACUUUCACUUAAAGUUUACAAAGCUACCAGAACAAACAAAGAUUAUACUGAGAGAUUGGUUGAGUACAGAGAAAAGCUUGACCGGAGGGAGGGUGUGGAGCAAAGCCUAGACUCGGACUCUGGGCUUUAGAGAAAUGUGAGGAGGGAGGGAUCCCUUGUAGCAGAUGGAGAGCAGGGAAGGCUUCCAGGAUAGCCUAUGUGUUGGACCUUGAAUCAAGGCUUUGUCUGACUGGGAGGGUGGGAAUUGUCUCCUAGCUUUGGGCUAGAUUGUAGAUUGCAAGAAGGAAAGAGAACAGAAUAGAGAGGGAAAAUGGCUCAAGUCGAGAGCUGAGUCCCUUCAAGUGGGAUCUUUAAAGUUUUUGUUCAUAAUUAGGGAAAAUUGACAAACCAAGAGAACAUAUCAAUAACAGAAAUGUUGUUUGAAGAAUGACAUGUGUAAAACUGGGAGAACAUUUUUAUAACCAAACUCUCUGACAAAGGUUUACUUUCCCAAAUGUAUAAGAAACUAAGUCAAAUCUACAAAAAAUCAAGCCAUUCCCGAAAGGACAAAUGGUCAAGCGACAUGCAUAUGCAUGGGCAGUUUUAAUUUCAUCCUGUGAAAGCUAUCAAUAUGAAAAAGUGUUUUAAAUUCCUCCUGAUUAGAGAAAUGCAAAUUAAAACAACUCUGAGGUACCACCUUAUACCUAGCAGACUGGCCAAGAGGGCAGCAAAGGAAAGUGAUAAAUGUUGAAAGGGUUGUGACAAAAUUGGGACACUUCACUGCUGGUGGAGUUGUGAAUUGAUCCAACCAUUCUGGAGGGCAAUUUGGAACUAUAUGCAAAGGGCUUUAAAAGACUGCCUGCCCUUUGAUCCAGCCAUACAACUGCUGGGUUUAUACCCCAAAGAGAUCAUAAGGAAAAAGUCUUGCAUGAAAAUAUUUAUAGUCACGCUCUUUGUGGUGGCAAAAAACUGGAAAAUGAGGGGAUGCCCUCCAAUUGGGGGACAGCUGAACAAAUUGUGGUAUCUGUUGGUGAUGGAUAUUAUUGUGCUGAAAGGAAUAAAGAAAUGGAGGAAUUCCA